AAAAUUUUAUAAGAUACUAGAGAGUUUUUGCACAGCUAUGACUCAUCUCCAAUCAAUAAAGUCCAUGGUCUGUGCACAUGCAAAGUUUGAAUCAUAUCAUUUGUUUUUGUUAUAUCGUUCACUGAUAAAAACUGUUUUUUGUCAUCAUGUUUUUAAGACAAGAAGAGAGCUGUCAGAUGCAAUCCAGAAUUUUAAAAUUUGUUAUCAGUGGUUUAAUAUAAGAUAUGAUCUUUAUUACAGAUGAUAGAGGAUAAAAGAGAGAGAAUUUAUGAUAUUAGAGCAUCUGAUGUCGGAGAUUCGAAUUAACGUGAGUUGUUGAAGUGACUACCAAUAACUUUCCAAAAAGGCUACAAUUUUCUCAUUUAGUUAUCAGUUGUAGCUGUGCAGAAACUCCCUAUUUU
rnacentral:lncRNA from 1 species